rnacentral:lncRNA from 1 species
AGUAAGCUCAGCCGGACACAGGAGCAAACUGCGGAGACCCAAAGUUUAUUGCGCAACAGGUUCAAACUGGCAUUGAACCCCGAGAGUGGGGUGACAUAAACUUUUAAAAGUUCCCUCCAUAACCCAGAAUACAGUGCAGGAAACGUCAUGAAUAUAUUUUGGGAAGGUUGGGCUUCGCGAGUUACAUCAUGAAUAUAUUUUACACGUCAUGAAUAGAUAAAGAAAAGGUGGGGUUACAUUCAUUAGCAUUUCGGAGGAGGGAGGGGGAAUAUGCAGAGCGAAGAAAUGUACAUAGAUAAACAUUUAUUGAGUACCGGUGGUGGCAAGACAAUGGGCUAGAGAUUUGCAUCGUCUGCCACUUCGUAUUGCCCAGAGGAAGGGUUUGGCGAAACGAUCUGACAGGAUUUAGAAGUUCCUGUGUACGUGACCUGCCGCUUUGGGGAUUAUGGCAGUAGGGACAGCAUCAUGGAGUCCAAGGGGAGCUGAGUUGAAUGACACCAAAAGUGAGGAAAUCGGAGUUACGGUUGAUUUUAUAUCAAUUUCUAAAGAUUUCAAUGAUUCCGUACUAUAGGGCAGUGUUUCCCAACCUUGUGCCUCCAGCUGUUUUUGGACUACAAUUCCCAUCAUCCCUUGCCACUGGUCUUGCUAGUCAGGGAUGAUGGGAGUUGUAGUUCAAAAAACAGCUGGAGGCACAAGGUUGGGAAACACUGCUAUAGGGCAAUAGCAGAAACAGAAUGGAUACAUUGUAACAAGAUUCUGACAAACGGAAACAGAAUGGAUACAUUGUAACCGGAUUUUGACAGUUUUACGAGGUCCCUGGUUUCGGAUCCCAUUGUUCUCGCAGUGGGGGGGCCGUCAGCAGCUUGUCAGGAGUGAAAUGAGGCGUGCAGUAGCUCCCUGAGCUAGCUCCUGCAGGGCGAAUGCAUGGCUGUGAUUGGCUAAAGCGGGGCUCAGUAUAGUGAAUGGAGUUCCAUUAUGAUGCGGUCUACUCACGUUAAGAAUAGGGCGAGAGGAAGGCAUAGACAAGAUCGGGGCUUAUUUCGCCCGUAUAGAGAAAGGAAAAGGAGCCUUUUAUUAACAAGGCAGGGGGUAUAGUGUGGUGCUUGUGCAACGAUGUGGGGGCUGAGGGUUCUAGGCAGAGUUGGGCACUGUCGAGUCAUCGCCUCGGGCCCGUCCAGGAAGCGAUGGAGGGAGGAUGGUUGCCCCCCCCUUCUCCUUCCGUAUCAAGGACCAACCCUUCUUUUUCCAUGCUGCUUCCCGCCACCCCUCACAGUC